rnacentral:rRNA from 1 species
AGUGAACGCUGGCGGUAGGCCUAACACAUGCAAGUCGAACGGCAGCACAGUAAGAGCUUGCUCUUACGGGUGGCGAGUGGCGGACGGGUGAGGAAUACAUCGGAAUCUACUUUUUCGUGGGGGAUAACGUAGGGAAACUUACGCUAAUACCGCAUACGACCUACGGGUGAAAGCAGGGGAUCUUCGGACCUUGCGCGAUUGAAUGAGCCGAUGUCGGAUUUGCUAGUUGGCGGGGUAAAGGCCCACCAAGGCGACGAUCCGUAGCUGGUCUGAGAGGAGGAUCGGCCACACUGGAACUGAGACACGGUCCAGACUCCUACGGGAGGCAGCAGUGGGGAAUAUUGGACAAUGGGCGCAAGCCUGAUCCAGCCAGACCGCGUGGGUGAAGAAGGCCUUCGGGUUGUAAAGCCCUUUUGUUGGGAAAGAAAAGCAGCAGGUUAAUACCCCGCUGUUCUGACGGUACCCAAAGAAUAAGCACCGGCUAACUUCGUG